GCCGCUAUCGUCUAGUGGUUAGGACGCCAGGUUCUCAUCCUGGUAACAGGAGUUCGAUUCUCCUUAGCGGUACCA
rnacentral:tRNA from 1 species